GCUUUCAUCCUUUUAGGGGUUGAUAAGAUGGUAUCGGUCAAGCAUUGGGGUUGGUGUAAUCAGGUAGUCCCCACCCCACCAAAUUUCAGGCUUUGUGCCGAAAGCAGAAGGGCGGAUUAUGGCAUUGAGCUGGCUGAACCUUUAUUGGACAGAAUGCUUAGCAGCUUUUCUUGCGUUCUGAGUUCAAACCCCACCAAGGUUGACUUUGCCUUUCAUCCUUUCGGGGCUCAAUAGAAUAGGUACCAGUUGGACACUGGGGUCGAUGAUAUCAAUUUGCCCUUCCCCUCAACAUUGUACGUAAAUUAGAAGGACUUAUCAUUAUUACUACUUCUGGCCCUUAACAUCCUUAGUUCAGAUACCGUCAUGGUUAAAUUUGUUUUUCAUCCUUCUAGGGUUGAUAAAAACGCAAUACCAGUCAAGUAUAGGGGCUGAUACUGUCAACUGACCCCAACUUUACUCAAAAUUGCUCUCCUGAUUCCUAAAUUAGAAACACUGCUGCUGCUGCUACAAGAUUUCACCACUCUUCCUCCUCUCUCUAGUACUGACCUUGUAUCUUAAUUCUGAUCUCUGAUUUAGGCGCAAGGCCAAUAAUGUUGGUGGUGGCAGGUAGGGGUCAAUUUGAAUUGACUCCCAAUACUUCACCUUGCUUUAUUUCAUUGACAAAAGGGUGAAAAGCAAAGGUGACUUUAGGAGGAUUUGAACACAAAAUACUGCGAAACAUUUUGUCUGGCAUUCUAACAAUUCUGGUUUGAAGCAAAGUUCUUGUUGAUCUGAAUCCCUAGUUUCAAUUUCGGUCCCUCUUCCCAAUUAGAACCAUUUAAUUUGGCCAUUAAUGUUGGUGAGAAAGGCAUGAAUAUCGUACAUUCCCAUAUUUAGUCUCCUGCAAAUUGGAGGUGUCAUAUGUCUGUGAGAUAUCAUUGAUUUAUGUGAUGGCCAAAUCAGGGUAGGGCUGAAUCGGGGUAGAGAAAGUGAGGGAGAGCUUUCAACUAAAUUCUUUGUAUAACAAACUUUAUAAGGUUUGUCUUUUCUUUUGUUUCUAGUUCUGAGUUCUCAUUCUGCCACAGACAUUUUUGUGCUUCACCCUUUUCCAAGGGUGGGUGGGGGUUAAUCAAAUAUAUACCUGUCAUAAACUGGUGUUGGUGGUACUGAUUAACCCCGCAACCUCGUCUCAAAAUUACUGGCUUUGUGUCUAAUGGAAUCUCUUCUGGCUCUCUCUCUGUUCUGAAUUCAAAUUCUGCCACUGUCAACUUUGCCUUUAAAAAAAAAAUAUCAGUAAAAUACUGGGGUUUCUGGUCUUCACUAAGGCCCAUCCCUGAAGCUGCUCACCCUGUGUUAAGCUUAGUCUUUAUUCUAAAUCUAAGCACAAUGGAGUUGGAAUGCUUACAAACAUUUGCAUCAUUUCUACCAAAUAAUGUCUUUGAUCUGUAAAGUGAGGGUAUCCUACCUCACUUCCAUCUCCAGUUGCCUGUUAAGAUAUCUGAUCUUCAUAAUUAACUUAAGCUCUUUUGUAUUCUGCUGUGUAUUCAUUCAAAGUGGACAUCUUUUUCUCCUGCCCUCACUCUACAACCCCUUCCCCCCUCUUCUCUUAAUCUGUUUUUCUUUGGGAAGCUUGUGUAUAUAUAUUUAAUAUAAAAUGAGCAAUCUUGUUAAAAAACCACAAAUGAAAGAAAAACGAAAGAAAACCAUUUUUUCUGCUGAUUUUUAAACUUUAAUUGCUGUAUGUGUGUGUGUGUGUGUGUGUGUGAGAUGGGAUUGGAACUAGAAUUACCAAGUUAUGUGUUGCUUUGACAUAAGAAAGAUAUGUGACCUUGUGGUUACAGAGUCAGAGGGGUCUUGACCUCAUGAUCGUGCAUUGUAUCUUCGAGCAAUGUACUUCAUUUCACGUUAUUCCAGUCUACUUGGCUGGAAAAAAAAAUGUCAGCUAAAUGCUAGGGCAGCCAUCUGUCUCCCUUCAACUAUCACAUCCUUCAGGUUUCCUUCGAGGACUGAUAGGAUAUCUGUGUCUGCUCACAACUACACAGGCACCUAAAACAGUUUGUGAAAGCGGGAUACAUGUUACCAAACCACAUUCGUUUGUGAGUGAUGGCCAGCUGUAGCUGUGUCUUUUGUUUUUCUUCUGGUGGGAGGAGAUGGAGGGCAAAUCAGAAGUAUUCCCUGCUGUGUUACAAGAGAGAAGAAUGCAAUGGGAUGGACACGGAGAGAAUGGAGGCUGGUUGGUUAAUGGCUGGGUGGAAGAGAGUGAUGCUGGUAGAAAGUGGAAGACUGAAGAUGCAAGCAAAAGUAGGGAGAACUCGAGAUACAGAGUUUAGCAUCUUCUGAUCCAUCAACAUCUCACUGUUCAGCAUCAUUUGAUCAAGAGGUUAGUGGGAAACUGAUCUCAGGAUGCUGACCUUAACAUCUCCUGAUCAAGAUAUCUCAUCUUACCAUCAUGUGAUCAGAAAGCUGAUUGGUGACAGCAGACCAUAGGAGGUUGAACUUAUCACCUCCUGAUCCUGAUCUCAUGGUUCAAUGUCUUGUGAUCAGGAGCCUUACUGGUGAGAGCUGAUUUUGGGAUGCUGAAGUUUACUUCUCCUGAUCUUGGGAUGCUGAGCUUAACAUCUCUUGGUCACUGUGAGUCUAUUUCAGAAUGCUAAGUUUAGCAUCCCCUGAUGAAAUUCUCACUGCUCAGCCUUGUGUAGUUAAGAGACUUGUUGGUGAGAGCUGAUUUUGAACUUAGCAUCUCAUGGUCACAACCUUGCUGCUCAGUGUUGUGUGAAAAAGAAAUAAUUUAGUGAGAAAACUGACAUAAUGAUGCUGAGCUUAGCAUCCCUUGACCAAGAUCUCACUGCUCACCCUUAUGUGAUCAGGAGACUGGUUGGUGAGAUUUGAUCUCAGGAUGCUGAACUUUGCAAUGGAUAUGACACAGUAACAUUGAUAGGUGGAGACAAUGUGUUGAAACUCUCCUAUCCAUUCCAUACCACCAUGGGAAAAUGGACAUAGAAAUGUGUGUGUGAUGGUGGUACCAUACCAAGAUGACGGAAUGUGUGUGAGAGGGGGGUGGUACACUGUUAUGUAUGCGUACAGUUGUGUGAAGUGCCAACUUGUUUCACCAAUUUUUGUUUUGUUUAUUUUUUUCUGUUUGGUCUUUGUUGUUUUUUUGGAAUAAUUAUUGUUAAGUUGAGCCUAUUACUGCUAAAAAUUGCUAUUAUUUAUCCAGCCAUAUUAUUAUUAUUAUUAUUAUUAUUUUGUCAAUUUAGGGCUGCAAGUGAUGGAGGGGGGGAAUAAAAUUUUUUUUUUUUUUUUUAAGCCUGAACAUUCAAACUCCACCCACCCCUUGAAGCCAGCUUGUUAACUAUAAAUUAUGUAUAUAUAUCUUCUAUAAAAUAAAAAUGAAAAUGGAUAAUAAAUAAUCGAGUGUCACACACCUGCUUCUAAACUGCUGCAUUUCACAAAUAUAUUAUAAAACUUGACUGUAAUGUUGUUUGUGUGUAUGUGUGUGUGUAUGUAUGUUUACAUUUUACAAAUAUAAAUGUUUUUUUCAGGGUUUUAUUGCAAGAUGUAAAAUAUUCCUUAGAAGAAGAAAAAAAUGUGUUUAUGUUACUGAUUUUUCUAAAAAACAAAAAAAAAAAACGCUAAUUAUUAAUUAAUUAAUUAAUUAAUUCAGAUAUUAAAUUGUACAAACUCUGUUGCAUUUUCUUUCAAAAUUUACAUGUUUUGUUAACGAUGACCUACAAUCAAACUUUGUUGUUUUUUUUCCCUUCUUCCUCUUCCUCCAGUUUUUGCUGUUCUUUCUUCAUUCUCUUUCUUCUUCAUUCUUCCACUUCAUUCUUCUUCUUCAAUUCUUCUUUGUUCUUCAGUUAAAAUAUGCCUUUUAUUCCAUUUCAUUCUUCAUUUUAAUCCAUCUUCGCUUGUUUUUUUUUUUUUUGCCCUCCAUAUAAACAAAUAUUAUAAAAUUUUGUUAUCACCAGUCUGUUACAUAUGAAAUAUGGCCCUUUUUUUUCCUUUCUUUUUUUCUUCUUUCAAGCCUUUUUCAAGUUGACAUCUUGUCCUACGUUUACUUCCCAGACACUUCAGAAUUUUCAAAAUAACCUAAAUAACCCAUCCAAACCAAACUGGGUUCAAAUCCUACUGAAAUGCUUUUAUUCCUUCUGAGGAUUAAAUGCCACUUUUUAUACUGGGGGAAACUUUACACCAACAACUGGACCUCUACAUGGUUGUUUGAUCUGCUAGAAAUAGCAGGCAUAUUUCCCUGCCUCUUAUCCCACCUCAAAACAGGAAGGACACAGUGUGGUUACAUAUCUAUAUAUAAUAUACAUAAUAAAAGGCAGAAUGAUUAGUGUGGCAGAGAAAAUGCUUAGCAGCAUUUAUUCUCACUCUUUAAAUUCUGAGUUCAAAUCCUACUGCAGUCAGAUAUGUCAUUCAUCAUUUCUAGGUUAAAAUACAGUACCAGUCAAUUAAUGGGGUUAGUGAUAUCAGCUGCCCCUGUGAUUAAGCAAGGACACACACACAUAAAAACAGAACCGUGGGGUAUUUAGAAACUGGAGCUGCAUCUGAUGGGAUGAACAUGGAUUACAUGUAGCAUUAGUCAUUAUUAUAUUCAUGUAUGUGAACCACCAUUUACUGUUGAAACAGUAAUUAUGGUGAAGGAAUAAAUGCAAUACCAUUGCCCCCAUUCUUGGACUCUCUCUCUAUAUAUAUCUAUCUAUCUAUCUAUAUAUAUAUUUGUACAAUCAUAUUUUGUCAGUAUGCCGUAUUAUAUCCAACCAGUUUUGCACCGUGAAUUAAAUAGCCAGAUCUUAGGUAGCAGCACGGCUAAGAAAAGAUUGACUGAAAUGGAUCCAUGACAUUGUGUAUUCUUAUAUACGCUCGUGUAUAUAUAUAUAUAUAUACACUUAUAUAGAUACAUGGGAUAACCAAAGCUACAGUAGAAUGCCUUUGAUUGCAGGUCCUCUCUCAGUCACCACUUAUCUGGACCCUGAACAAAGUAUCUUUAGAAACUUGGUGGGUGAACUAAAGACAAAUAGGUCAACACUUACGCCCCACUUUUUACCAAAAAAAAAAAAAAAACUCCCACAAGUGAUUCAUAUUUUUUUUUGAAUGUGGAUAAUUCAACAAAAUAAUUAAUUCUGUGUUCUUUGAUGUCUGUGAAAAACUGAAAAAUUUCCAAAA